rnacentral:rRNA from 1 species
GACGAACGCUGGCGGCGUGCUUAACACAUGCAAGUCGAACGGAAAGGCCCUGCUUUUGUGGGGUGCUCGAGUGGCGAACGGGUGAGUAACACGUGAGUAACCUGCCCUUGACUUUGGGAUAACUUCAGGAAACUGGGGCUAAUACCGGAUAGGAGCUCCUGCUGCAUGGUGGGGGUUGGAAAGUUUCGGCGGUUGGGGAUGGACUCGCGGCUUAUCAGCUUGUUGGUGGGGUAGUGGCUUACCAAGCCUUUGACGGGUAGCCGGCCUGAGAGGGUGACCGGCCACAUUGGGACUGAGAUACGGCCCAGACUCCUACGGGAGGCAGCAGUGGGGAAUAUUGCACAAUGGGCGGAAGCCUGAUGCAGCAACGCCGCGUGCGGGAUGACGGCCUUCGGGUUGUAAACCGCUUUCGCCUGUGACGAAGCGUGAGUGACGGUAAUGGGUAAAGAAGCACCGGCUAACUACGUG